rnacentral:snRNA from 1 species
UUGCGUUGGCAGCGCAGAAAUUAAAUUAAAUUGGAUGCUACAGAGAAGAUUAGCAUGGCCCCUGCACAAAGAUGAUAUCAAAUUCAUGAAGCGUUCUAUAUUUUU